rnacentral:rRNA from 1 species
UACGUAGGGUGCAAGCGUUGUCCGGAAUUAUUGGGCGUAAAGAGCUCGUAGGCGGUUUUGUUGCGUCGGCUGUGAAAUCCCCGAGGCUCAACCUCGGGGUCUGCAGUCGAUACGAGCAAAACUAGAGUGUUUGCAGGGGGGAGACUGGAAAUUUCCUGGUGUAGCGGUGAAAUGCGCAGAUAUCAAAGAGGGAAACACCCUG